AUAUAAUCACCUUACACAUUUCCAAAAGACAGACCCCAUUGAUUUAACUCAGUCUCCCACUAAGAAGGACGAGAUGGGUUAUAACUUAUAAUAAGUUGAUAAUUCACUGACAUAGAAUUAUUCGACGGUGGGAUAUAUGUGUUUGAUCAGCAAAAGGAUCGCUCAGAGGUUUAUUGCAUGUAAGGAAAACCAGCAUGGCCGUAUUAAUAUGACGAUACUUCCAUGGCUCGGAAAGCUCUUGGUUUUGAUAUAGCCAUCGAAUGAGAUUAUCAACACCGGUGCAAGAAAUAGAGGGUGAACAUCUAUAAAUUAGCAUUGAACAACACCGUACGGUGUGGCUUUAAGAGAUCAUUAGUCCCCACAUUAGACCACUAAGACAGUUGCUUAAGGUCUCAAUUUUUCAAAGGCUUAAUUAGAUAAAGCCUUAUUUUGAAGUUUAGUCUGAGAUCUCUAAAAAGCUUAAACUGCUGCAGGAGUACAUGCAUGGGUUAAGUACACACACUUCUCUAAUCUCAUGACAAGAUGCUUCAAAUUAUGUGAAUAACUGUCGUUUGUACUUUGCAGUGUUAGGAAAUUAUCAUCCGGGUAUCUUCUUGGAGGAGAGAACAAGACUUUUUCACAAAGCCCAAGUAGUUUAAUAGGUUUGGUUAAUCUCUGAAAACUUUUUCACAAAUGCAUGCUUUAGGUGAAGGUUUGAUGUAUAGGUAGAAAGUUGGUUGAUGCAUUGAAUGGACAUUGUAUGUGCGUCUGUCUGUAAAAUGCUUCUUCCAUGAAUGAUGAGUGAGUAGUGGAAUGUCAGGCAGAAGAUGAAAGUGGGGCAUCCUUGGCGACCUUCCAACACGUAUAUAGAAGAUACAUAAUCUAAGGGAUAGCUGAGUAGCCAGGAUAAGUGCUUCAAGAAGUGGUGUUCAUUAGUUUGAAUCUUAUAAAGGGCUUGACCCUUUGGGGCAAUUCCCCAACUAUAGUACUUAUGCUUGAUUAUCCGAUAUAUGUAAGACGGAAGAAUUACAUUAGUAGGGAGAAAACGAAAUACAUCAUUAAGAGAAGUAAAAAACUUGCAAAUGGAAAGUACAAUUACUAUAGGGAUGCAAGAAUUUGAGUAUCGGAAGGCAAGAAUUUGAGUGAGUAAUAUUCUAAAUUAACCUAUGACUACCCCUAAAUAGUUCGUCGCGUAGUAACAAUUUAACGGUAAGAUUUAAGAUUUCAAAUUGAAGUCAUCCCAAAAGAUCAUUGAAAGAUUGUCCAGUCGUUACUUUUAAUGUUUAGAUGCCUAGUUAUGUAUAUAUUUAAUUAUAUCUAAUGUUAACCAGUGCCUAGAAAUCCUGAGACAAUUGUUAAAGCGUAUUUAAUGCCAUAUUAACUAGUGUUGAUUUUACUACAUUCCUACUUUUAUCACACUGAUUAAAUUGUAUGCAUUGAUUGUUUAUUAAAUUACAUGCAUUAAUUGUUUAACUAAUUUUAGUAAUGAUUUAAUUUAUAACCACUUUGUAACUAAUGACUUGUAUUACCAUGCAUGAGAAUAUAAUUAUUUACAUUUUAAACCAUUUUGAAGACUCAUUGUUUGUAAUUAACUACUAUUAACAAUCUUAAGGGUUAAUCCAGUGGUCAAGAUUUGGAACUUGAGAGUAUAUUCCUUCCAAAUUUUAGGUUCAAAAGUGCAAAUAAUUUCUUAAAAAUAGUUCAUACGGAUUUUUUGCCAUGAUUUUAAUUGAAAUGUCACAAGUGAACGAUGGAAUUAAUUUUCUAAACUAGUCAACCCAAUAAACCAAAUACGAAGUUAUUAAAAAAAUCAACUACUAUUAACAUGACCCUUAAACUAUUAACUUAAAGCUUUACUGCUUUUUGGGCACAUAAAGUACCUGAAGCUGAAAGUCCACUUUCCAUACUGCUAAUAAUAGAGAGGGUAGGUAAGUUCAUGGUAAAUUAAACAGAGAGGGUAGGUAAGUUCAUGGUUAAAUGUACCUCAAUAGAGAGAUUUUCCCCAUUUCCAUAUUGGGUAAACGUACAGGAUUGUAUUUGUUUUUGUAGAUGUGACCUUUAGGGAACCAUUCGUUCAAGAAAACAAAAGACCUGUAGGGGACAAUAUGCAACCUUCUGACACUUUCCUUUUCUGGGUCUCGAUUCAUAUGUUUACAAACUUUCGAUCAUAGUUCUAAAUCGCGGUAUCGGUUAAUAUAACGGUAUCGAUUGCAGAGUAUUGGUAUCAAUAGUAUCGGCCGGUACGUAUUGAAAAUCGGGUGCCACGAUUGUGAAAUUUUAAAAAUCAUUAGCAAUCUCUCUAAAACUGAAUUUUAUGCAUUUUUUUUUGACUCUUCUAACCUUAAUUUGUUAUACUUUAAUCAAAAUUUUGUUAUGUAAGAGUGUUGUUGACUCAUUUUUAACUAAAUGAUAUGUAUUUAUUUUUGGUAUAUGUUAAACUUUUAAUAAAAAAAUUGAUUUGAAUAUUUAUUUUUACUUGUACUGAGAAAAAAAUAAACAUAUAUAUUAAUAUAAAUAGAGAUGUAGGUGUAAAAAAAAAUUAAAAAAUUAAAAUAAAAUAAAAUAAAAUAAAAAAACGUUAAGCAUUUGCAAUCUACAAAUCCACCAUAAACCCAUGCACCUCCAUGUACCCAAGUACCUCUCUCUUCUUACCCAUUUCAAUCUCAGACUCCCAAUGCACCUCCAUGUAUAUCCAUUUCAAUCUCAGACUCCCAUACCAUAAUACAACCACAAACAAUCCUAUCCUCUCUCUCUCUUUCUCUCUCUCUCUCUCUCUCUCAAAAUGUUGACUGGAAGUUGCAGAAUCCUGCCAAACCCAGACAAAUUCAGCUUCAGAUCAAUGAAAAAAAAAAAAAAAAAAAAAAAAAAAAAAAAAAUAGAAACAGAGCACAACAAGAAGAAAAAUAGAGACUAAUUCACGCAACGACACAACAACAGAAGCAGAGAAAGUAUCAGACUGUAUCGGCCCAUGUAUCGAAUUCACGCCGCUACGUACCGAGACUCGGACGCUACAACUAUGAAUUUCAUUCUCACCGAUAUACCAAUCUAUCUCCGAAUCAGUGCUAUAAUUUUCCGGUAUGAAUACCGGCCGAUAUGUAAAACUAUGCCUUCAAUUACAUAAAUUUUUUUCCACUGUCAAAAUGCAUGUAGUUUAAUGUUUUAAAUAUCCAUAUAUAUAAAUUUUUUGUCUUUGCUUCGACACUCUAGACAUGGUAACUAUGAAGUACGGAUAUGAAUAUGAAUACGGUAAUUU